rnacentral:rRNA from 1 species
GACGAACCGUGCGAACGUUGUUCGGAAUCACUGGGCUUAAAGGGCGCGUAGGCGGGCGGCCAAGUCAGGGGUGAAAUCCCGCAGCUCAACUGCGGAAGUGCCUUUGAUACUGGUGGUCUCGAGGGAGAUAGGGGCAUGCGGAACUUCCGGUGGAGCGGUGAAAUGCGUAGAUAUCGGAAGGAACGCCGAUGGCGAAAGCAGCGUGCUGGAUCUCUUCUGACGCUGAGGCGCGAAAGCUAGGGGAGCAAACGGG